rnacentral:lncRNA from 1 species
GCGGCCAUCAGCGUCUGCCUAUGGAAGUUCGGUUUCUUCACCCGCCCGAAGCCCCACGAGGAGGAGGAGGAGGAGGAGGAGCAGUGAGCGCAGCGGUGGCCCCUCUCUCCCCCCCACCCCCCCGCAGCCCCACAGGAGGGGCUGUGACCCCCCCUCCCCCCCCCCAUCAGCCCUGGGCCGCCCCGCGGGUUCCGCACGACGGCGCGGAGAGCAGCGAUGGCGCAGCGGGGAGGUGGGCAGAGGAGGAGCCGCGUCCCCCAUCCCGCUGUGCGCUGAGGGGCGGAUGGGGACGGGGCGAUGGCAGCAGUGGGGCUGAGCAGAACCAAUAAACUCCGCCCCACCGCAGCGCUCCGUGUGCCACAAAUCCUUCCCGUCCCGUCCCGUCCCACCCCAUCCCCACCCGUCUCACCUCAUCCCCU